ACACUUUGCGUUCCGCGGCCCCGGCCCCUUGGUUUCCUAGUCCUGGCUCCAUUCCCCUCUCAGGCCUAGGGCUGGGACCCCUCCCCGCCCCCGGUCUUGGCCCUGCCCCCUUCAACAGACGGUCCGCCCCGGCCCCUCCCCCUCGUCCCGCCCGGCCCUGGCAGGCCCCGCCCCCUGCGGCCUCUACCUUUGACGUCUUCCCCCGGGAGGUGGCGGGGGUCUGCGACCGAAUGCCGGCGGGACUCUGGGUCAGGGCUUCUGGCGGGCCCUGCGGGGGGCAGCGAGGUGACCGUGAACCUGCGGCUCAUGGCGCGGAAAGGAGCCAGGCGGCCGCGGCAAGGUCCGGGAUCGCACAAGUGGCUGCAACCAGGCUCUAGGAGGGAGAAAGAGCGGAUCCCCCAACCCCCUCCGCCCGCCCGCCCCCCGCGAGACGCGGCGCCGCGCAGGGUCCUAGUGCCCGCUGUGCGAAGGGUUCCUGAAUCUGGCCACUUCGCUGGGAGGCCCUGGGCUCCCCAGUGCCACCCGAAGGGCCUGAGGAGGCCAUCUGCAGAAUCUCACUCUGUCGCCCAGGCCAGAGUACAGUGUCAUGAUCUUGGCUCACUGCAACCUCCACCUCCCAGUUCAAGAAAUUCUCCUACCUCAGCCUCCCAAGUAGCUGGGAUUACAAGCACAGUGCCUGGCACAUUAUCGGCACUUGAUGACUGUUGUCUAAUAACUGAGCUUCCAUACAAACCACCUGCCGUCCUGUACUGAAGGAGAAAGAGCUUCCAGCCGGGGAGGCAGGAAAUCUGGGUCCUGGUCUUGGUUGCAUCCCUGACUUCCUAAAUGACCUGGAGAAGGCCUCUGCCUCUGCUGGGAUCUUGUCUGUGCUGGGGCAUUUGUUUCCAUUUCCAAGGGCUUUUUCUUCCUCGCUCAGAAUUUGACCACUCACUAAGAGGAGCUUAGUGUGGUGUCUCACGAAGGGAUCCUCCUCAGCCCUCACCUCGGUACUGGAAGACGUCGUGCGUGUCCAAAGGCACCCCGGGGAACAUCCGGUCCACCUCGCUGGCGCUCCGGGGAUCCACCAUCUGCGCCUUCACGUCGAACCUGCGGGCAGGCGCGGAGGAGACAGGUGCUGAGCCGGCUAGCGGACGGACCGACGGCGCCCGGGCUCCCCCUGCCGGCGGCCGCGGCGGCGCUCACCUCCAGAGGCGCCGCCCGCUGAACAGCAGCAUCUUCCCCCUGCCACUCCGGAGGGCCCCGGUCACCUGGGCCACGUCGGCUCCCAGGCCCAGCUUGUCCAGACGCCUCGGGCCCAGCACCGACGCGCCUGUGUACACCCACACCUGGCGCCCUGCAGGGGAGGAGGGUCACGUCGGUUUGGGGGCGCAGAGGGAGCACGUACUCCUAGAACGCGAGGAGGGAGAUUCCGGCGAGGCCUUUCCUAGCCCGCGUGCCCGCAGUCCCUGCAACCCAGGGGCAGAGGCGCUGGGUAGAGCGACGCGAGGGCGUGGAGAGGAGGGGGCAGAAACUCAGCCGCCCCUACGUUUGCUAAACUGCGUCCGCCAGGGGGCGUAUUUUUCUAAAACGCACAAGACGUUUCGUGGGUUAUCGAUGGUCUCUUGAGCCUCCUUGACUGAUGGGGAUUGACCGGGCGGGGGAGGGAAAGUAGGUAACUAACCAGAGAAGAAGAAAAGCUUCUUGGAGAGCCGCUCCUCAAAGACCGAGUCCAGCUUGCGGGGCAGCGCGGGCCACUUGUCGGCGAUAAGGAAGGGGCCCUGCGGCCGGCUCCCCCUGCCCUCAGAGAAUCGCCAGUACUUCCUGAGAAAGCGAGGAGGGAAAGGACGGGCUCUAAGCCUUGGACACAGGGCCAGUGGGCGGGAAGGGACGGGCAGCCCCUCCGCAAAGCCCCCUCCCGCAUCCACACAACCCCGCCUCCUCACCCAUCCUUGAACAAAUACAGCUGGUUCCCAAUC
rnacentral:lncRNA from 1 species